GUGCUUGCUUCAGCAGCACAUAUACUAAAAUUGAAAUGAUACAGAGAAGAUUAGCAUGGCCCCUGUGCAAGGAUGAUGCAAAUUCAUGAAAUGUUCCAUAUUUUC
rnacentral:snRNA from 1 species